rfam:Ricinus communis cultivar Hale ctg_1100012358419, whole genome shotgun sequence.
UAAGCAAUGAUGAAAAGCUAACACGUAAGAAGACCUAUCAUCUGUUGAUGGUUCUUCAGUGAGAUAUACUUGUUACGCUUGGCUUCUGAGCUUU